UGAGUAAUGUCUGGGAAACUGCCUGAUGGAGGGGGAUAACUACUGGAAACGGUAGCUAAUACCGCAUAACGUCGCAAGACCAAAGAGGGGGACCUUCGGGCCUCUUGCCAUCAGAUGUGCCCAGAUGGGAUUAGCUAGUAGGUGGGGUAACGGCUCACCUAGGCGACGAUCCCUAGCUGGUCUGAGAGGAUGACCAGCCACACUGGAACUGAGACACGGUCCAGACUCCUACGGGAGGCAGCAGUGGGGAAUAUUGCACAAUGGGCGCAAGCCUGAUGCAGCCAUGCCGCGUGUAUGAAGAAGGCCUUCGGGUUGUAAAGUACUUUCAGCGGGGAGGAAGGCGAUGAGGUUAAUAACCUCGUCGAUUGACGUUACCCGCAGAAGAAGCACCGGCUAACUCCGUGCCAGCAGCCGCGGUAAUACGGAGGGUGCAAGCGUUAAUCGGAAUUACUGGGCGUAAAGCGCACGCAGGCGGUCUGUCAAGUCGGAUGUGAAAUCCCCGGGCUCAACCUGGGAACUG
rnacentral:rRNA from 1 species